UUACGGACUGAGGUCUGCCUCAUCCCCACAGCAGGAGACAAAGGGCUGAGAGCCUACCCUGCAAGUUGCCAAGAGUCUGGUCCAUCCUGACUGAUUGAAGAGUCAAACACAAAUGACAUUUUAAUCACUGGUUGGUGGUCAGGGGAUGGGGGAGGUAGCCAGAUAGACCAGAAGGCAAAAAAGAUCCUUCAGACCUGAAGAAAGGAAGAUCACUCCAUUGGUGCACAGAGGAUGUAUGUCCUUAGCAAAAUGGAACUGUGUCCCAUGCACAUCCGGAUUGUGAAGGACAGAAAGGGGCUAAGUACCAGGAAAAGGCUGGGCCAGGGAAGGAAGCGGCUUUUAUAGCAUAGCUAUCUCAUUCUCCAGCUACUGCCAGGCAACCUACUAAGGAAACUAUGAAUCUCCAAGGGGCUCAUAAGACAAAGAACACAGCAAGGGGAGAGGGGGGAGAUAACACACAAGCUGUUCCUCCACCCUAUGAGGGACAGGAUGGAUAAUGUAUGACCACAAAAGAAAGAAUAAAGUCUAAGGUAUAAUUUA